CCGGUCUGUCGGGCCGGGUUAUGGUGGGUUGGACCGAGUUAGUCUCGCCCCGGUUUAUCUGCAUCUUUGGCUCUCUGCCCCGAUAUGCAGUGCUGCCGAAGGCGACGGGAAUAGCAGACGGAGACGGUAGGAGGGAAGCACGGGGAACAGAGGGGCUAAUCUUGAGUAUUAAAGCGGUUUGCUGAUGGAUACGAAGGAUCCACCCGAGCAACAGACAGCAGCAUCCAAAGAUGAACAUGUUCAGUUUGAUCCAAGCCGAAUGAUUGGCAUCAUCAAAAGGAAGGCCCUGAUCAAAGAACUUGCUGCUGCUUACCAUUCUGAGUGUCUUGCCUAUUGCCAGGAGCUUCUGCAACUUCAAAGAAAGUGGGAACAGCAGCAACGGUAUAUCGAAAGAAAAACUACAGAGGAUGCUAGAAAACCGGUGGUAACGAAGCCCUCCAAACGUUCAAAGAAGGGGCUAUAGGAAUCUAUUCAUGGCUCCAAGUUUCAUCUCUGUAUACUAUAUUCUUCCCCAAGUGAAUCGUGUAGUCACUCACCUGUAUCAAAGUUGCCAACCAAUUUCCUGCUCCUCAUAUGUUACGCAUCUUAUAAGUGUAUAAAUAUAGUGUUUUCUUAUUUAGUAUGCACAUAACUUUUAUGUUUUCUCAUAAAAUGGAGGGUUUCACU